rnacentral:tRNA from 1 species
UACUACUUUGGCAGAUAAGUGUGAUAGAUUUAGGAUCUAUGAAUGGGGUGUUACUCCAGGUAGUAG